CAAGUUUCUCCUUUAAAAAGGGAAGCUCCCAAAGUGGAAAAUCCACCAAGCAACAUAUAUAAGAGAUUUUUGCAGAUGAAUUGUGUUGAGAAUUAAGAAAGAUGGGAAUAAAGUUAUGGGUAAUGUUAGUGAUGAUGGUGCUUUCAUUACUAAAUGAAUGGUGUUGUUUAGGGUGUUGGGAGGAAGAAAGGAUUGCUCUUUUGCACCUCAAAGUAAACAUGAACUUUCCUGAUGGAAGAUCGUUGCCUUCAUGGGUGGUUAAUGAGAUUGAAGCUGACUGUUGUCAAUGGCAAGGGGUUGAAUGCAGCAACACAACUAAACGAGUAAUCCACCUUAAUCUUGAUGCUGUUAGGGAUCGGAAAUUAGGAGAUUGGUAUUUUAAUGCCUCUCUAUUUCUUCACUUUCAAAAGCUCAGACAUCUCUCUUUGCAGUGGAAUCAGUUAGUAGGUUGGAUUGAGAAUGAAGGUAUGAUGUCAUCUCUCCUUAAUUAGGCAUCUUCAACUUUAUUAUUCCUAUUUCAUUUGAGUGAUAAAUAUAGAUAUGUUGAACCUUGUUGCAGGUUUUGACAGAUUGUCGAAGUUGAGAAAUUUGGAGGCCCUUGAUCUGAGUUGCAAUUCAUUUCAUCGCAAAAUUUUGUCAUCUCUUAGUCAGCUUUCUUCUCUCAAGUAUUUGAGAUUUCGAAGCAGCCUUUUAGAUAGAGAAAAUUACGGCAAUAGUAAAUUCAAAAUACUUCAUAUUCUGGUGGUUAUUUUGUAGAUCAUGAAAUUAUCGAAGAACAAACUUUAGACAAUAAAUCAACUUAUUAUAAUUAAACUUUUAUUGUUGCAGUAUAAGAUAAGCAAUUUCUCUUAAACCUUUAAUUUUCUCCAUUAACAGUGCAGAUCAAAGAACCAAUUUAACCUUAUUAGUGUAUUAUGAGAAAAAGCAGAGGGAGUAAAUAAUUUUAAAAUACAGUAACAAUACAACAUUUUUGAGAAAAAAACAUACAAGUGCAAGAAUUUUUGGAGUGAAGACCAGAUAACGUAGCUCCAA
rnacentral:lncRNA from 1 species